GGCCAGCGUGCGGAAGGAGAGUUGCACUGCAGACCAGAUGUUAAGACAAAAAUUAUCCACCGAUCGUUUGGCGCUAAGUUAUCACAAGAAACUCCGGCUGCAGUGUGGAAAGUGGAUGGGAAGAAAGCAAAUUUAGAUACAGGGAUAUGAGGUUAACUAGGGUCACCAAUGCUACAGAACUGAACAUGAGGUUAUUUUUCUACUCAUUAUUUUCUGGUGUCUUUAGCAAGGUUACUUAUUCUCCUGUCUACUUUUUCU